UUCCUCCUUAGCGUUUGUCUGGCUCAAAGCAGCAGCCUGCGCGAGACACCCCUGGGGGGGGAGGUACGAGUGAGGGCCCGUCCCGUCAACGGGUGGGGGGGGGGGAGGGUCCGUCCCGUCAGCGGGUGUGGGGGGGGAGGGUCCGUCCCGUCAGCGGGUGUGGGGGGGGAGGGUCCGUCCCGUCAGCGGGUGUGGGGGGGAGGGUCCGUCCCGUCAGCGGGUGUGGGGGGGCAGGGUCCGUCCCGUCAGCGGGUGUGGGGGGGGGAGGGUCCGUCCCGUCAGCGGGUGUGGGGGGGGAGGGUCCGUCCCGUCAGCGGGUGUGGGGGGGAGGGUCCGUCCCGUCAGCGGGUGUGGGGGGGCAGGGUCCGUCCCGUCAGCGGGUGUGGGGGGGGAGGGUCCGUCCCGUCAGCGGGUGUGGGGGGGGAGGGUCCGUCCCGUCAGCGGGUGUGUGUGGGGGGAAGGGUCCGUCCCGUCAGCGGGUGUGUGGGGGAAGGGUCCGUCCCGUCAGCGGGUGUGGGGGGGAGGGUCCGUCCCGUCAGCGGUGUGGGGGGGAGGGUCCGUCCCGUCAGCGGGUGUGGGGGGGAGGGUCCAUCCCGUCAGCGGGUGUGGGGGGGGGAAGGGUCCGUCCCGUUAGCGGCCGUGGCAGGGCCGCACGUCCGAAGCCAGCGGACUCCGCCUCAGCGUGGUCACCUGCGGCCGCGGCGAAGCUCCGUGGCGCCCCGCGUGGGGGCGGAGGCCGAGGAAGGGGCUGCGGGGCAGGCGCUGGCGGCGGCCCAGGCUCCCGCGGAGGCCGGGGAGGAGUGCACUGCGCGGCCCCCUGUGCGGCAGGCCUGCCUCCUGGACUGGAGCCCGCCGCCACCGCCGCUCCCCCGGCGGCGCAGCAGGGCGUCAAGGUCCGUCAGGGGCAGGCGGCGGCCUCGAGGCGUGGCUGCCCCGACGGGUCCUGCGGGCUCCUGGGCGCCUGACGUUCUCGUCGCCGUGGCGCCUCAGAACCCGAGCGCCUGUGGCUCGGCGCCGACCCGCCGCAUCUGCUCUCACCGUCGUGCGGCUUGCUCUGUGCGCAGCACCGGAUGCGCCCGGGCCUGGAGCCUCCCAGCAGGUCCGCCUCAGAGCCGCAGCCGGGGCUGCGUCCACGCCACAGGGCCUCAGGCCGGUGCCCACCUCGUCCUUGCUCUGCCGCCAGCUGUGCGCCUCGGGCCCUUUGCGGCUGCCGCCCCCUGGCAGCGCUGCUGGAGGCUCCUUCCUCGUCCUCGGUCUUUGCUCAGGCAACUCCCGCUCAGCGAGGCCCGUCCCGGCGCCGAGGGGCCUCGGGUCAUGGAGGAGGGCUUUGUGUUGCGGGCCGUGCCCGCUGUUACCGCCGCGGGAGGACUGCUGGACCGUGUGCGGGUGAGAGCGCUCCUGGCGGGCCGAGCGGCCUUUUCGGGAGCCUCCGUGUGUGAACGUGCGAUGGCAGCGGCACUCUGGUGA
rnacentral:lncRNA from 1 species